rnacentral:misc_RNA from 1 species
UCCGGUUUGUCACCGGCAGUCUCCCAUGAGUCCCCGGCAUUAUCCGCUGGCAACAUAGGACAGGGGUUGCGCUCGUUGCGGGACUUAACCCAACAUCUCACGACACGAGCUGACGACAACCAUGCACCACCUGUGAACCCGCCCCAAAGGGGAAACCACAUCUCUGGAGGAUUUCCGGCGAUGUCAAACCCAGGUAAGGUUCUUCGCGUUGCAUCGAAUUAAUCCGCAUGCUCCGCCGCUUGUGCGGGCCCCCGUCAAUUCCUUUGAGUUUCAGCCUUGCGGCCGUACUCCCCAGGCGGGGCACUUAUCGCGUUAGCUGCGGCACCGAAGGGGUCGUUCCCCCCGGCACCUAGUGCCCAUCGUUUACGGCGUGGACUAC